rnacentral:rRNA from 3 species
GAGUUUGAUCCUGGCUCAGAUUGAACGCUGGCGGCAUGCCUUACACAUGCAAGUCGAACGGCAGCACGGGAGCUUGCUCCUGGUGGCGAGUGGCGAACGGGUGAGUAAUGCAUCGGAACGUAUCCUGGAGUGGGGGAUAACGUAGCGAAAGUUACGCUAAUACCGCAUAUUCUGUGAGCAGGAAAGCGGGGGACCUUCGGGCCUCGCGCUCUUGGAGCGGCCGAUGUCGGAUUAGCUAGUUGGUGAGGUAAAGGCUCACCAAGGCGACGAUCCGUAGCAGGUCUGAGAGGAUGAUCUGCCACACUGGAACUGAGACACGGUCCAGACUCCUACGGGAGGCAGCAGUGGGGAAUUUUGGACAAUGGGGGCAACCCUGAUCCAGCCAUGCCGCGUGAGUGAAGAAGGCCUCGGUUGUAAGUAC